UGUAGAUCCUUAUGAACUUUUUAGGAGUAUUUGGAAAGAUUUGGGCUUUAAAGAUAUUGAACUAUUCGUUAAUGAUAUUAAAAAAGAAGCUUUGUUAGUAGUUAACGCUAUUCGCUUGCAUAACAACUAUGCACCUGCCUGGGAGUUUGCUAAGAAAAGAAAAGGCUUGGUCUUUGGAAUUCUUCUUCCGUUGGCCGCUUUUUUUCGAUUCCCAGCACUUUUUACUUUUGCAUUUCGCAUUAUGACUGCCGCGCCGUUAAUUUUUGUGCAACAUUUAAUUCGCACUAAUCCCAAAGCCGCUUGGACACUUUUUCAUUCAGUUUGGUUUAAAAUUGUUCGAAAUUUGGAUGAAAAAAAUAAAAGGAAG